CACGUAGGGCGCAAGCGUUGUCCGGAAUUACUGGGCGUAAAGAGCUCGUAGGCGGUCUGUUGCGUCGGCUGUGAAAACCCGGGGCUCAACUCCGGGCCUGCAGCCGAUACGGGCAGACUAGAGUUCGGCAGGGGAGACUGGAAUUCCUGGUGUAGCGGUGAAAUGCGCAGAUAUCAGGAGGAACACCGGUGGCGAAGGCGGGUCUCUGGGCCGAUACUGACGCUGAGGAGCGAAAGCGUGGGGAGCGAACAGG
rnacentral:rRNA from 1 species